rnacentral:snRNA from 1 species
AUAUUUACCUGACAGGGAAAAAAUACCAUGAUUAUUCUUAAGGCAGGGGGUUUACUCAGGGUGAGGCUUAUUCAUUGUCCUCUGGAUGUGUUGACCCCUGUGAUUUACCCAGUUGUGAGAAACUCAAUUGCUCAGUCUAUGGUAGUAGGGGACAUACUCACAUACUCUCUAU